GUGCGUAGGUGGUUCGUUAAGUCAGAUGUGAAAGCCCUGGGCUCAACCUGGGAACUGCAUUUGAAACUGGCGGACUAGAGUUUAGUAGAGGGGAGUGGAAUUUCAGGUGUAGCGGUGAAAUGCGUAGAUAUCUGAAGGAACACCAGUGGCGAAGGCGACUCCCUGGACUAGAACUGACGCUGAGGUACGAAAGCGUGGGUAGCAAACAGGAUUAGAUACCCUGGUAGUCCACGCCGUAAACGAUGUCGACUAGCCGUUGGUCCUAUUUACAGGAUUAGUGGCGCAGCUAACGCAUUAAGUCGACCGCCUGGGGAGUACGGCCGCAAGGUUAAAACUCAAAUGAAUUGACGGGGGCCCGCACAAGCGGUGGAACAUGUGGUUCAAUUCGACGCUACGCGAAGAACCUCACCAGGGUUUGACAUAUAGGUAGUAGGAACCUGAAAAGGGGACGACUCGUUAAGCCGAGUGCCUAUACAGGUGUUGCAUGGCUGUCGUCAGCUCGUGCCGUGAGGUGUUGGGUUAAGUCCCGCAACGAGCGCAACCCUCAUCCUUAGUUGCAAACGAGGGGUCCGAAAGGAUCCUGGCGAGCACUCUAGGGGGACUGCCCGUGAUAAACGGGAGGAAGGUGGGGAUGACGUCAAGUCAGUAUGGCCCUUAUAUCCUGGGCUACACACGUGUUACAAUGGGAUGUACAGAGCGUUGCCAAACCGCGAGGUGGAGCUAAUCGCAAAAAACAUCCCUCAGUUCGGAUUGGAGUCUGCAACCCGACUC
rnacentral:rRNA from 1 species